rnacentral:rRNA from 1 species
GACGAACGCUGGCGGCGUGCUUAACACAUGCAAGUCGAACGAUGAAGAAAAGAAUUGAAGCUUCGGCAGAAAUUCAUUUCGGAUUAGUGGCAGACGGGUGAGUAACGCGUGAGCAACCUACCUCUUACAAAGGGAUAGCCUCGGGAAACCGGGAUUAAUACCAUAUAACAUUGCGACGAAGCAUUUCGAUGCAAUCAAAGCUACGGCGGUAAGAGAUGGGCUCGCGUCCCAUUAACCAGAUGGUGAGGUAACGGCUCACCAUAGUAACGAUGGGUAACCGGCCUGAGAGGGUGAGCGGUCACACUGGAACUGAGACACGGUCCAGACUCCUACGGGAGGCAGCAGUGGGGAAUAUUGCACAAUGGAGGGAACUCUGAUGCAGCGACGCCGCGUGAGUGAUGAAGGAAUUCGUUUCGUAAAACUCUGUUCUAUGGGAAGAAAAGGACUGUACCAUAGGAGAAAGCUCCGGCUAAAUACGUG